AUGACGCUGGCGGCAGGCUACACUGCAGUCUGAACGGUACAGGAUAGCUUGCUAUAGCUGACGAGUGGCGGACGGGUGAGUAAUACUUAGGGAUCUGCCUCUGUGUGGGGGAUAACUAUUGGAACACGAUAGCUAAUACCGCAUAAUGUCUACGGACCAAAGCGGGCUUCGCGCUCGAUGCGCACGACGAGGAACCUAAGCGAGAUUAGCUAGUUGGUCGAGGUAAAGGCUCACCAAGGCGACGAUCUCUAGCUGCUCUGAGAGGAAGAUCAGCCACACUGGAACUGACGACACAGGUCCAAGACUCCUACGGCGAGGCACGCACGACUGGGGAACUAUUAGCACACACUGAGUGCGUGAAACCCCUAGAUGCAGCCAAUGCCAGCAUGUGUGUGAAAGAAAGGCCUUCUGCGCGUUCGUACAACGCAC
rnacentral:rRNA from 1 species